CAUGGAGCCCUUUCUUCUCCAAAACAAUUCCAGCUAAACCUCAAAGCACCUGAACUAAGGAGCUUCCUGCAGCCACAGGGGACGUGACUCUGGAGUCACAGGGCCACCUCCAAGCCCCAUCCAAGCCUGCUUCUGUUCAGUCACCCUGGCAGGCAAGUCACUGCUACAUCCAAUCUACAUGGAGCACAUGGACACUCCAGCUGCUUCUAACCUCCAGUCCACCCUCUGAUGGCUCAGGAGCCUCAAGUCAUGGGCCAGGAUGUACCUGUAACACUAGAUCUGCCAUCAGUCGCAUAUCUUCAGGACGGGAAACAAGCACAGAGACAAGAGGCAGGCGUGCACCAGGAAGGCAAUGGGAGCUGAAAUGGCCUCAGAAGCUCUUCGGCAAGAAUUUGCAUUUACCAUGUCAUAAAGAAAA